UGGGUUCGUCGGAUUUGUAUUCGUGCCUUGACUCCGUGCUGACGAAGUACCCUAUGUGCAGCUCUGAUUGGCAGUUCCGUUUCAUGUGAAAGUACACCUACCAAUCACAGGAAGGAUUACAAAUUCCCGGCUUCGAUGCAGUAAGGAAAAGGAAACGGAACGGUGACGGAACAGAUGUGUGAACGCAGUAUCUAUGUUUCAGUGUUUCUAAGCUGUAAAUUUUCAUCAUGGUGGUAGUGGAACUGUGGAAGUCAUGAGUUCAUUAAUUUCGAGAAUGGAUUAAUCUUUUAUUUUAGAAAAUGGAUCAACUUUCUGAGGAGUUGGAGUUCCUUGAUCUGUCAGACUUGGGUGAUAAAGAACGACACCAUGUCCAGUCUGUGCUCUACUCAAGGAACCCAAAUGCAGCAUACCCUCAGCUGCCUUGGCAAGUCUCCUUGCCUGUCAAUAUUGAUCCGUAUCAGGAGUCAGUUGAUGAGGUCCAGUGGAACCACAAACAGCAAUAUGAACCUGAUAAUUCUGGAGAGAUGAUCAAUUAUGAGGCUGAAUCUUGUGACAUGGGCAUUGAAGAAGGAUGCGAAUCUGUUGAGCAGCCAGUUGACUAUCAGUCAGCGUCUAACAUGAUCCCUGCAGCAUCUGUUAUCAUGGUGCAGAAUUACUCGCCAGGCAUCAUUAACCAUGUGUAUAGCUCAGUGACCCAAACACCAAUGUAUUCGACACCCUCAAAUGAAAUCAAUGGAAGCUCUCAGAAACCGCGACGUACUCUAAACAAUAAAAUGGGUAUCAAAGGAAUGCCAAAAAUGGGUAUCAGACAUCGACAGCCGAACGUUGAUGCAGUGGAUGUUAUGCCGCAUCAACCUCCACCACAAAAUCCGCCAUAUUUCUACCCGUAUCAGUAUCCAUACUUUCCUGGCCCUCCGAAUCAGCUCCCUGGAGCUCCAAUGAGCACCGCCCAACACGCAACGGGCAGUCCCUUGUACUUACCUACAGUGGUUAAUUCAUAUCCACCCAUGUACUAUCAACCAGCCUAUUGUUCACCACCCCUCCCAAUCAAUCAACAUACCCAUGAGCCGUUGGAAAUGUCUCCUGCUGAUAAUAUUUUAGUGAAGUCUGAUUAUUUGGAAGAAGUUCCAGUCGUGUCUGUAGGAAAUGCUGUGCCUUAUAACAAUAAUGAUAACAAUAAUCAUAUUGAAGAUAAUACUAUAUUAGUUGUAGUGUAAAUAGUAGUUUAAAUUCUAGCAGUAACACUCAAUAACAAUAAUAACUACAGUUUCACCAGCAUCAAAGAUGACGUAGUCAAAAGAAGUGAAAUUUCUGAUGAUCCCUCAGAAAUCGCUUUGUCAGAGGCUGUGAAUGAUGAGAAAUCAAAUAGUGUUAGCUGCAAAUCGAUCGUCCAAAGAAGUGAAACUGCCUUCCAGCCUGACUCAUCUAGAGUUAAUGUAUCAGUCUCGACAAAUUCAACUGAACCCAUUAUAAAGGUUUCGGACAGUAGUGCAAGUGUUAGUCAAACCAUUACCAGCGUCAAAAACUCUGUCAGCAAUAUUGCAGACAUUGGUGUCAAAUCAUCCCAUUCAUUGCCUGCACACACUGCCCAACAAGCAGUUACUAAUAAAGUAGACUCAGGAAGUGCUGUCGGUAAACCUAGUAGUAGUCACUCCCCAAUCUCAAGUAGUUGCUCCACAAGCAAAAGCAGUAUCACCAUUUCCAGUGAUACGAACGACAGUAAUGUGAAGAGUGUAAACAAGGCAAAAGAAGCUGCACCUGCAAGUGUUACCACCAAUUCUUCAAAAUCUGAAAAGU
rnacentral:lncRNA from 1 species